UACAGAGGUCUCAAGCGUUGUUCGGAUUCAUUGGGCGUAAAGGGUGCGUAGGUGGCGCCGUAAGUCAGGUGUGAAAUUUCGGAGCUUAACUCCGAAACUGCAUUUGAUACUGCGGUGCUUGAGGACUGGAGAGGAGACUGGAAUUUACGGUGUAGCAGUGAAAUGCGUAGAGAUCGUAAGGAAGACCGGUGGCGAAGGCGGUCUGCUGGGCAGUUUCUGACACUGAUGCGCGACAGCGUGGGGAGCAAACAGG
rnacentral:rRNA from 1 species